CGGGACUGCAUUGAUUUAUCGAUCAAUGAUGUACAAAGUGAAAACGUCGUUUAUGUUGUUGCUUCUGGCAGAACUGGGCAACAUCGAGGUUGAGCUGAUUGAGCCGGAAUCCACCCAUCCAUGUUCCGGCGUUGCUGGAUGCCAACUGAAAACGUUAAGUUACGCCGUGGACAGCUCCCGAUCCAGCGUAAUUGGACCGGAAACCGGGAUGGAAUUGAUUAGCGGCUGAUUGAUUGUCGUGUGAAGAGAGUCGACGUGUAGGACUGGACGAAGAUGAAAGCGGCCAGGGUCCACACUCCAGCGACUAGUCGGAUUAUUAUCCCAUUAAAUGGUGCCAACCGGCCAUUGAAACGGUUUGACGACGGCGUUGAUGUUGGCCGUUUCAUCAGGGACGGGAAUGAGAAAAGCGAAAUAGUCGUAAACCCAAGGCAAGACUGUCAUGUCCGAUCGUCUUAUCCUAGUAAGUCUAAAAAGAUUUGGAACUCAACUUGAUCCCACAAAUAAUUGAAAAGUCCGCGUUCUUUUUCCGUUGGCGUCUGUCUGUUUUC